GCCCAAACUGGAUCCGGUGUCGAGAAGUGGAGGAAGACGCCUCCUUGUGUACAAAAUGAUGCAAUUUUGUUUGCACAACUACGCCAAUGAGAGCUGAUUUCAACCCUUCAGUUGAAGUAUGGUUACACCCUUGCUCCAUUUCCAUCCUUCCAGGAUAGGCUAUUCUUCUAAAAAUUUCUGCUGUGCUGAGCAGUCUGUACUGCUGAGCCUCCAGGCCUCCUUUCUCUUUCCCUUCAUUUCAUUUUCUUCUACAGAACAUCGCCACAGAUUUAUCACCUAGUGCUGUUUUCAGCCCCUAAGCAUGGGAUAAGCAUUGGAUCGGUGCGGCGUGGAGUGGGGCGAGGGGGGGAGGGUCUGCUGUGAAGACACAAGAGAAUAUGUGAUACUGAUGGGAAUGGUGAACCAUCAAUACACCUGCAGUUCGUGGCAGUUUCUGAUAUGGUCGACAUAGGCAACCGCCCAUGGCAGCAUCAUCCGACGCCUCCCCUGAUCCCCCCAGUUAAUAAAAGGUUGCCUCGUCCAGUUCGUGUUGUAUGUGCUCUUCUGCCACAAUUGAAAAAGAAGUUUGAGCGUCAAGGUUUGACCAUGGACCAGCAACCUGUCCAGGAUGUACCCCGCCUCCCACCCGAUGACCACUGGAAAUAGGCACCAGUUGGUAGAGAUGUUGUUAUUCAAGGAGUUUUCAAGUACCGCCUUCGUUCAUCCAGUGGCACAAGCCCAAAGGUCAAUCAACAAUUCCAGUCUGCUGCCACUUAAAUCACCUGAACACA